rnacentral:lncRNA from 1 species
AGACUUGAGGAAGGUAAAUAUAUGUAAAGAGAAAUUCCUCUCAAGCUUGAACCACGUUUGUCAUCUAGUGCAAAGGCUAGAUUAGUAGCACCAAUAAAGGAAAGUAAGAACACAUUCCAGCUUUGUUUAUAUGUCCUCUUGCUGAAAAGCUUCCUUUGUCUUUGUUUUGAGUCCCAAGUGCAGCUAAAACAGGUCUUUGGGAGUUCCUGUGGUGGCUCAGCAGUAAUGAACCUGACUAGUAUCCAUGAGGACUUGGGUUCAAUUCCUGACCUCACUCAUUGGGUUAAGGAUCCAGGGUUUCCAUGAGCUGCGGUAUAGGUCACAGACAUGGCUCAGAUCUCACGUUGCUGUGGCUGGGCUGUGGCUGUGGCUGGCAGCUGUAGCUCUGAUUUGAUCCUUAGCCUGGGAACUUCCAUACAGGUGUGGCUAUAAAAAGCCAAGCAAAAAAAAAAAAAAAAGAAAGAAAGAAAAAGAAAAGAAGGAAAGAACAGAUCUUUAAUUUUAGUUAUUUCAACAUAUAGAAUGGAAAGAAUACAAAUAGUAAAGAGGAAUGCUUUUGGGUUUUAGUGGUAACAUUGCAAUGAACUUUUUGAUUGAUGAAAGUUUUGUAACCUUGGACAAUUUACUUUGUUUUUCUGAGAGUCAGUAUUCCCAUUGGAAAAAUUAAUAAAAUCUAUAACCUCCUGAAUUGUACUGGGAUGAGAUGAAAAAACAUGCAUGAAGCAUGUAUCAUAGUGUCUAUCAGAGUAGAUCUUCAUCAAUUCAGUUGAUUUUUCUUCAUCUUACUCAUCCUCAUAUUGAAAUAAGCACAAUAUUCUAAUGAUUGGUAUUUGUAAACCUGUGAUUUACUACUGGCUUUGCUGCAGGAUGUGUGACUUUGAACAAAGCACAAUCUUGUGCUCCAAUGUUCUUAUUUGUAGAAGGAAGAUUUGAACUCUAUAAUCCUAAAUACUCCACUAUCCUUUCAUCUAAUUUUAUUUCUUCUGCUCUUUGUAGUUUUAAAAGAACAAUGACAAAAUAGAUGUACUACUAUUUUCUGAUUCUGCAGUGAACUACAAUAGCCUUUUAUGCAAUUUGUCAUAAUCCAGAAUAUACUAAUUAUUGCAAGCUUCUUAAAGCCUCAUCCUAUGUGAGAAUCACCUUGAAAAGCAUCCUAAUUUCCACCUGGAAUAAUUAAGAGACAUGAAAUUUUUUAAUCUUUCUUAAAAACAAGAAAAAUUUAAUCUACAUUUGAGUUUUUUCAUAAGUUGAAAUUUUUCUUCUAUUAAUAAUUUCUAUUUGAGUCGUAGACAUCAAAGUUCAAGUUUCUUUUGGCCUGCAAUUGAUUUCUCCUUGUCUUCUAAAUGACAACUACUGAUUACAUUAAUAUUCAGAUCUCUGUCUUACCUCCCCCAGAGGUUACUUUUCAUCCUUAAAAAAAAAAAUAUAUGUUCUUGUAUUCCUGAGAAAAGAAUUAUUAUUUUUUCUAUGAAAAUAGAUUGUAGUUAGAAGCGCCUUUCUUAAAGCAUAUGAACAAACAAAACACUGUCUCCACCUUAGAUGAUCAAAUGAUUCACUGUUACAUAGACAGUAUAGCAAAUCUGCAAAGCAAAACCCAUGAGACAAUCCCUAUUUCCCUGCUGCUGUCAAGCAAAAUGACUAUAAUAUCAUUAUGAAGAAAUGGUUGAACAAUGACAAAGGUGAUCUUUGUACAACCCAAUUUUUCUUACCUAAAUUUUAAAAUUAUUCUAAUAGAUUCAGAAUGCACUCGAAAAUAUCUUUGUCUUUGGGCGUAAUAUUCUACAGUACAUUGUGAUAUUUCACACGUACAUGGAAAUGACAAUUUCAUAGGCUGUAGAUUAGAGAGAGUGACUUUUUCCUCAGUCUUUCCCUUUGUGAUUUUUAUGAUGGAGAAGCUAAUCAGUGUUAUUUUUCUACUAUACUCCAAAAUUCUCUUUUCCAAGCCACAGGGAAGAGCAAGCAAAAAAACCACCACCAACAAAACAGAACAAUCCAAGAAUAACAAUUCUUUAAUUAAUAAAUUAAUGUAAUACCAUUUUACCUGCUUAUCUUACCUGAAUACAAUGUAAUUAACUUACAGAUCACUUGAAACUUAAAAGUUAGAUGAAUAUAAUAAACUAUAUAUAUUAUGCCCCAAGUUUCCACUUGAAAAUCCUUUCCUUUUCUUGUUUACUUAUCUUUGGUACAUCUUUUCUGUAAGGGCACUUGGCUAAUACCUUAAAAGUUUCCAAAUAUGAAUGUCAAAUUAGCUCCAUGAGCCUCAUUUAGUAGCUAUAAGAUGUGGUGGAUACUCUUUACAGCAUCUCUAGGAACUUUUGCCCUAGUAUUUCUCAAAUUAUGUUACAAAGAGAAUAACAUCAGAAUGGCUCAUAGCAUUUUCUCUCUUUUCCAGAUACCGAUGCAAGAUUAAAAGAUAAAAUAGUCUGAAUACAUCCAAUUAUUAUAUAUUUUAGAAAUAUCUGGAAAGCAUGGUAGUAUCAUAGGAACAUGUUUUAUUUUACAUAUUAGUUGGAAUAUGAAACAAAAAAAUCAUCAGUGCAUAGUUACAUACUGAUGACCUAGGAAAUAGUUCUCAUGAUAGGCAAUUUAAGAAUAUGUGCCCCCAGGUACAGUAGGGGAUAUUUAACAUCUAGGGAGGUCAUUAUAUUGAAAUUGGUGGUCAUUCACGAGGUCACUGUCAGGAAGAGACUGAGCUAAAGCAGAAUAUAAAUUAUUUUAAAGGCCAGACUUACUACUUUGAAACCAUGCUAUCUCCUGGGAAGCACAUAGACGUGGUUGCAUGAAAAUAUCCAUUCAUAAAAACUGUGUGUUUCUCCCAACUUGGCCAUAUGAAUCACCACAUGAGAAAGGAAUAUUAAAACAUUAAUCAUUGUGAUAAGCAGAUGGAAACUUCAUGAUAAUAGCAGGUGAUAAAAGGAGGAAUGCAUUUUUUAGAAAUCACAUUAUUUUGGCAUUGUUUAUGCCCACAAAUGUACCAAAGCCACUACAGUUUCCUACAUGGUAAAAUACUGAUAAUUAGAUACAGAAUAUUAUAAUACGUUAGGUAGAUAGAUAAUGGGCAGAUAGAAUUAUCACCUACAUAUUCUGCGUUAUAAAUAGUUGUAAACACUACAGUCUGAAAGAAAUUUAAACAGAAUUCUCAGAAUAUGAGAAACCCAACAUUUUCCAUAUGCACUGUCAUAUUCCAUUCUUUUUCUGAUUUCAUAUUUCAUUAGCAUUUAGUACACAGGCCUUGGGAUUUUUAAAAAAAGAAAUAUAAGUAUAUUCAAUUUUGGUAUUUGUGAACUAUUUAUCAUUUAAUUUACCGUCAAGGCCUACUAAAUUUUGUUUAAGACACUAAAUUAAUUUAAAUCCCACCUCCUUUACUUUUGAUAUGCAAAUAUUUUUACUUUGAUGUCAUAGCAAUACAAAUUGAAGUUUGCAACAUGAACCGCUAAUGCUAAUUUGAUUACUUCUGUAUUAGUGUUGAGUGCUACAAAAAUAGCAAGAGAUUGUUUAAAAAAUGAAACUGGGAAUGGAAGAACUCUUUCUCUGCAGGCCCUCUGCAAUGAUGGUAGUAUUAAUGCAUGUACAUUAAUGCUUGAUGAUUCUCAUAGAGCCAUGAAUGCAAUUUUGAAGGCAAGUAAUUUAGGAGUUUUAGAAAACCUGACAGCUUGGUUUUUAAAAAUUUGAGUUCAUCAAAAGUCCUCACUUUAUUUUUUUAAUAGCUCAGAGAGUUUUAAUCUAUUUAAAAUAUUUAUUCCAGAUGAUUUAGACAAUGAUUUAUUUUUAGCAGUAAAGACGUUUAUCAACUAUAGUGACGACAAGGUGCCUGAAUUGUGAAUUUAAUACUUUUUGGAUGGAAGUGAAUCAGGCCUCCUAAAAAAGGAAAAAAAAAUGAGCCUUUUUAAAAAAAUUUAUUUAAUUGAUUUAUUUGAUAAAGUUGAGAUUUCUAAUGACCCGUAACGAAAAGGAUGAUAUAAAUAUCUCUUUGAAACUGAAGCCAAGUAUACCUAAAAACUAUUGAAAACAGUUUUCUCCCUCUUUUUAAAACAGUACAUGAAAAUGGUAUCUUGCCAUGUUGAAAAAAAUAUAUAUUAUACAUGAUCUCUAAGGUAUUCCAAUGGUGGAGCUGCAGUAAUAUCUGCCACCUGUAGUGCGCCUGCAGUGUGCAUGUUGCUUGUCUGUUUAUCAAUGAAAUGUCUGUGUAUGUUUGUCUGCAAUUUGCAUUAUGCCUGAAAGUCUUUAUGCUCAUUAACCUUUUACAGGUGCCGCACCAUUCCAAGGAACUUCAGGUACUAAGAGAAUGGGCAUUACUUAUAAAGGCACAACAUACCUUGAGCUCCAUCCUCUCUUCCUGCCUACACUCAGGCAAUGUAUUGGAGACGACUCAAUGAUCUAGAUAUUUGUGACCAAGCUAAGGAGUAGCAAAUGACUGAAUGAGGGCCAUGUAUAAUUUCCUACAUAUGACCCUUCACCUGAUU